GUUUGGCAAGAGUGAUGAUUCAAUUAGAUGUGUGAAAAAGGGUAAUCCUUUUUUUUUUGAACUCAAUUGUUUGAGGCAUAACAUGUCUGACUUGCCUGGU